rnacentral:rRNA from 1 species
AGCGUACACGGUGGAUGCCCUGGCAGUCAGAGGCGAUGAAGGACGUGCUAAUCUGCGAUAAGCGUCGGUAAGGUGAUAUGAACCGUUAUAACCGGCGAUUUCCGAAUGGGGAAACCCAGUGUGUUUCGACACACUAUCAUUAACUGAAUCCAUAGGUUAAUGAGGCGAACCGGGGGAACUGAAACAUCUAAGUACCCCGAGGAAAAGAAAUCAACCGAGAUUCCCCCAGUAGCGGCGAGCGAACGGGGAGCAGCCCAGAGCCUGAAUCAGUGUGUGUGUUAGUGGAAGCGUCUGGAAAGGCGCGCGAUACAGGGUGACAGCCCCGUACACAAAAAUGCACAUGCUGUGAGCUCGAUGAGUAGGGCGGGACACGUGGUAUCCUGUCUGAAUAUGGGGGGACCAUCCUCCAAGGCUAAAUACUCCUGACUGACCGAUAGUGAACCAGUACCGUGAGGGAAAGGCGAAAAGAACCCCGGCGAGGGGAGUGAAAAAGAACCUGAAACCGUGUACGUACAAGCAGUGGGAGCACGCUUAGGCGUGUGACUGCGUACCUUUUGUAUAAUGGGUCAGCGACUUAUAUUCUGUAGCAAGGUUAACCGAAUAGGGGAGCCGAAGGGAAACCGAGUCUUAACUGGGCGUUAAGUUGCAGGGUAUAGACCCGAAACCCGGUGAUCUAGCCAUGGGCAGGUUGAAGGUUGGGUAACACUAACUGGAGGACCGAACCGACUAAUGUUGAAAAAUUAGCGGAUGACUUGUGGCUGGGGGUGAAAGGCCAAUCAAACCGGGAGAUAGCUGGUUCUCCCCGAAAGCUAUUUAGGUAGCGCCUCGUGAAUUCAUCUCCGGGGGUAGAGCACUGUUUCGGCAAGGGGGUCAUCCCGACUUACCAACCCGAUGCAAACUGCGAAUACCGGAGAAUGUUAUCACGGGAGACACACGGCGGGUGCUAACGUCCGUCGUGAAGAGGGAAACAACCCAGACCGCCAGCUAAGGUCCCAAAGUCAUGGUUAAGUGGGAAACGAUGUGGGAAGGCCCAGACAGCCAGGAUGUUGGCUUAGAAGCAGCCAUCAUUUAAAGAAAGCGUAAUAGCUCACUGGUCGAGUCGGCCUGCGCGGAAGAUGUAACGGGGCUAAACCAUGCACCGAAGCUGCGGCAGCGACGCUGAUGCGUUGUUGGGUAGGGGAGCGUUCUGUAAGCCUGUGAAGGUGUGCUGUGAGGCAUGCUGGAGGUAUCAGAAGUGCGAAUGCUGACAUAAGUAACGAUAAAGCGGGUGAAAAGCCCGCUCGCCGGAAGACCAAGGGUUCCUGUCCAACGUUAAUCGGGGCAGGGUGAGUCGACCCCUAAGGCGAGGCCGAAAGGCGUAGUCGAUGGGAAACAGGUUAAUAUUCCUGUACUUGGUGUUACUGCGAAGGGGGGACGGAGAAGGCUAUGUUGGCCGGGCGACGGUUGUCCCGGUUUAAGCGUGUAGGCUGGUUUUCCAGGCAAAUCCGGAAAAUCAAGGCUGAGGCGUGAUGACGAGGCACUACGGUGCUGAAGCAACAAAUGCCCUGCUUCCAGGAAAAGCCUCUAAGCAUCAGGUAACAUCAAAUCGUACCCCAAACCGACACAGGUGGUCAGGUAGAGAAUACCAAGGCGCUUGAGAGAACUCGGGUGAAGGAACUAGGCAAAAUGGUGCCGUAACUUCGGGAGAAGGCACGCUGAUAUGUAGGUGAAGCGACUUGCUCGUGGAGCUGAAAUCAGUCGAAGAUACCAGCUGGCUGCAACUGUUUAUUAAAAACACAGCACUGUGCAAACACGAAAGUGGACGUAUACGGUGUGACGCCUGCCCGGUGCCGGAAGGUUAAUUGAUGGGGUCAGCGCAAGCGAAGCUCUUGAUCGAAGCCCCGGUAAACGGCGGCCGUAACUAUAACGGUCCUAAGGUAGCGAAAUUCCUUGUCGGGUAAGUUCCGACCUGCACGAAUGGCGUAAUGAUGGCCAGGCUGUCUCCACCCGAGACUCAGUGAAAUUGAACUCGCUGUGAAGAUGCAGUGUACCCGCGGCAAGACGGAAAGACCCCGUGAACCUUUACUAUAGCUUGACACUGAACAUUGAGCCUUGAUGUGUAGGAUAGGUGGGAGGCUUUGAAGUGUGGACGCCAGUCUGCAUGGAGCCGACCUUGAAAUACCACCCUUUAAUGUUUGAUGUUCUAACGUUGACCCGUAAUCCGGGUUGCGGACAGUGUCUGGUGGGUAGUUUGACUGGGGCGGUCUCCUCCUAAAGAGUAACGGAGGAGCACGAAGGUUGGCUAAUCCUGGUCGGACAUCAGGAGGUUAGUGCAAUGGCAUAAGCCAGCUUGACUGCGAGCGUGACGGCGCGAGCAGGUGCGAAAGCAGGUCAUAGUGAUCCGGUGGUUCUGAAUGGAAGGGCCAUCGCUCAACGGAUAAAAGGUACUCCGGGGAUAACAGGCUGAUACCGCCCAAGAGUUCAUAUCGACGGCGGUGUUUGGCACCUCGAUGUCGGCUCAUCACAUCCUGGGGCUGAAGUAGGUCCCAAGGGUAUGGCUGUUCGCCAUUUAAAGUGGUACGCGAGCUGGGUUUAGAACGUCGUGAGACAGUUCGGUCCCUAUCUGCCGUGGGCGCUGGAGAACUGAGGGGGGCUGCUCCUAGUACGAGAGGACCGGAGUGGACGCAUCACUGGUGUUCGGGUUGUCAUGCCAAUGGCACUGCCCGGUAGCUAAAUGCGGAAGAGAUAAGUGCUGAAAGCAUCUAAGCACGAAACUUGCCCCGAGAUGAGUUCUCCCUGACUCCUUGA